rnacentral:misc_RNA from 1 species
GAAAUGCGAUAAGUAAUGUGAAUUGCAGAAUUCAGUGAAUCAUCGAAUCUUUGAACGCACCUUGCGCUCCUUGGUAUUCCUUGGAGCAUGCCUGUUUGAGUAUCAUGAAAUCUUCAAAGUAAAUCUUUUGUUAACUCAAUUGGUUUCUACUUUGGUAUUGGAGGUCUUUGCAGCUUCACACCUGCUCCUCUUUGUUCAUUAGCUGGAUCUCAGUGUUAUGCUUGGUUCCACUCGGCGUGAUAAGUUAUCUAUCGCUGAUGACACUGUAAAAGGUGGCCAAGGUAAAUGCAGAUGAACCGCUUCUAAUAGUCCAUUGACUUGGACAAUACUUUUAUGAUCUGAUCUCAAAUCAGGUAGGACUACCCGCUGAACUUAAGAA